AUUGGCUGGAGCCGGCCCUCGGUCCCGCCCUUGGAGCGGGGGUGGGCAGGGAAGGGAGAGGGCGGGCGCGCGCGACCGGCUCGCGGCCCCUCCGGGCUUCUGUGGCUGGUGCGCGCGCGCGAGGGGAGCGCGAGGCGCUCGCCCGCGGGGCGGGGACUGAGCCUGAGGGGAGCGUGAGGGAAGCAAACAUGGUCUCUCUCCUGAGGAGCCACAAGAGUGGACAGCACAAUAAAGGCAAGAACAAAAUACUCCUAAGAGAACUUGUGAUCUGCAUAAGCCUUGAAAGUCCUGGUUGUGACAACACCAGCUUCAGAUGUAGCUGCAACCCACAGAACAAUACAUCAUGACGAUUUGGCCAGAUGGAGGUCUGCCUUAGCUUCUCUUCAAACUUUGACAUGGGCUUGGCAAAUCCACCACCUUGGAAGAGAAAAGGACCUCCAGCAGCAUAUGGGACCUCUCUGUUGUGAAUUCCAGUAGGACAUUAGGGAUCUCAGCUAUACAGCUCAUCAAAACAUGUCAUGCCUCACAGCCAGACAUCUGAUGAUGCAUAGAAUGAUUCAUUGCUGCAUCUGGGAAGAAGGAUGAGAGUGACCACAGCACUCGCACCUCUGCAUAUCACUGUGGGAUCUGUGCCCCAGGGCCUGGGAAAGCUUGUGCUGCCAUUUGGAGGAAUGCCAGCAGCAGAUUCAGCGGCAGCUUGGAGAACCAAAGCUGUGUGGUACCCAACAGCAUCACAGUUACAUUAGACAGAUGCUGAAACAACUGAUUUAGGAACUAAGUUCAAGAAGUGCUGCUCUGGACCCAAUGUGCACCUUUUCUGCUGAGAAAAAAAGAUCUUCUGAGCUACUUUGCAGUUUAUCAGCACCACAUGGGAGCAGAGAAAGUAUUGUAAGCAAAGUGUGAUUGAUUGUUAUGUUAUUUCCUCUCCCCCCUUCUCUAGUGCUGGGUUCAAGCAGGCAAUUUUGUACCAGUGACACAGCCAUUACUUUAGGUAGAGGAUUUUCUCCCAGCUUCUCAACAACAGCAUAAAAGAUUAGCAUGCUUUCUGGGCAUGCAAAGUAUCAAAAUACUCUAUCUUAGCAAUUGGCUCUGCUAUGAGAAAUAAUUCUAGCUCAUCAACCAUUUAAAGCAAAAAUUACUGUAUUUCCAGGUUUGCACAAGAUCAGGAAAAAAUCCAACUUAAUUUUUACUCCAAGCGCAAUAUCUGGAAGAUUCCUGUCACUUGGAGGUUUUAGGACUGUCUAACAGAUAAUUCAAAUAAGAAUAAGCUCUUCCAAACAUAAGUCCUUAAUUUGUUUUCUUAUUCCUGCAAAUAGAUUUUCCCACGCAUUGUUUUGCAAGGCUCUUUGAAACCUGCAUUUAUGCUAAAUGAAGAGCUAGUGGAUAAGAUUUUUUUUCUUUGUGAAAUAAUGAAAAAGCCUAUUUAAACCUUUGUAAGAGGUUUCCUUCUUCCACGUGUGCAUGCCAAGGCUAUGGCUGCCAAGGCUAUUGCUAAGAAAGGUUUGAGUCAGGGAUGGAUAACUUGCUUAGCACACUGACAGGGUAUGCAGGAUGUCAGUAAAAUACUCCCCAUGCAGAAUGUUUGAACUGUGCAUCUAUCCUCUUGUGACUAGAAAAUUGUACAAGAGGACAAUUCCCCUCCUCCUGGAGGUUCAUUGUUGAGAACAUGAUGACAAAACCACAGCCACGUAGUGUGUCAACACAAGAGCAGAACCAGGCCACCUCUUCUUCCCUGUUAUUAACCUAUUUGGCUUGGGACAUCCUAUAUUUGUCUUUAGAAGGACACCAGUGUCCCCUUACCUACCUGGUCAUUGCUGUUCCCUGGCACAGCCCCAGCAGUCCUGUUAUCCCAAGGUGAGAGGCAGAGGUGCAGCACUGAUGGCACCAGCUGGGUCAGGCCAUUCUGGCACUUGUGCAUGACCAGUUUGUCAAUGCAGCCUGCUGCCAAUCCUGCCUCUUGCUGUCCUUCAAAAUCACUCCUUGUGGCUGCAUGGCUGCAUGCCACAGUAAGACACUGCUCAGUUAAAGUUCAAACUGAAUUUGUAGCCAAAAAAAACAAUUCCUGGUCCCUUCCUGUCCUGGAUUAGAAUGACUUCAAAACAAAUAGGGUGACCUCAAAAAACAAAAAUAGAAGUGCUCUGCAGUCAUCACCUGCCUUCCUAGAAAACCCAGUUUCCAUCAUUUGUACCUACUGGCAAGCCUCACAGGAGCUUCAGUUUUGUAUGGCUACACAUCCCAGCAAGCCAGCCCUGAAGUGAAUGACUUGCUCCUGCAAUGUUCUGUCCCCCCCACUGAAACCUGCAGGGGUCUGUUAGACCUAUUUUUCCCUGUUGAAAAACCAUCCAUCUUCAUGUAAACUUGGUAGAGUCACAACCUGAAAAGAAUUUUUUUUCUUAAUAGGUUUUUCAUUCACACUUUUAUUGGGAUCUACAUCUUCCUCUCACAGUGCAGAAUGACUUGGGUCUUAGGAUCUCCCCAUGGAUUUUAUUACACCAAGGGUGGGAUUUCACUACAGACACCUGUGUCUCGGCUCAGCCCAAACUCCUGUGUGCGGUCAACAGCACCAAGGGCAAGGUUCACUUAAUCCUGAAAAUUCUUCAAACAACUACUAGUUUCUUUCCUUUGGCCAUAAAAGGAACCCAGACUGGCUAGCUUGGUGUACAUCUCUACUUUGCAGAUAUCUAGAAUACUGAUGUACACUAUGGAAAAUUACUCUGAAAUUAUCCUCCUGAUUACAGUCUCACUGUUCACACAAAUGAAGGGAAAGCUAAGCAAGCCAGAACACUCUUUUUUUCCAGCAGGAGGGCCAAACUUCCUUUUGGUUUGUAACCUUUGCAGCAAGGUUUCUUUCUUUUAAAGGGGAAACAUACGAAGUUAGAGACACCUAAAUUCUGUAUAGUCCUCAACACCUUGGGUGAGACAAUCUCUGUUAUGUCCUUAAAGAGCAUUUGCACUCCUGAGAAAAGCAAAAUGCUUGCACAAGGAUCAGUCCAUAUGUUUUCUCAGUUCUGGCCCUUACAGGGGCUUUUUGGUCAGACACAUAAUUUGUCUUCUUUGGUUUCAAACUUGGCAACUUCUUUGUGAUAUGGCCCCCUGGAAAUGCCAGAAGACUGUCAUGCACACACAGAUGAAGAAGUAGCAAUAUUUAGCUGUGUAAAGUCUACCAUGUCUUAAUGGCAAAAGCAAGCUAGGACAGAAGGGAGCUGGUGCAGAUUUGCACUGGGAGGAUGGGAAUGUGUGUUGGCCUGCUGGGAAGAGGGCAGAGGGCCUGUUUUUAGAGGAUGGCCAGGAUUAAGUAGACCAGGUUGUUUGGGGAGGGAUGAAAGUGUCUGUGUCUCCUUGUUUCUUCAGAAAAGAGCUAGAGAAGUAUCAGCAUCAGCACAAAGAUUGAGCACACGUGCUGCAAAGGCAGAAAGGAUGGUAUUUUCUGGUUUAGCCUAGUUGUUGCUUUUGGCUGAUAACCAGUAAAAAUAAAACUUUACUGUCAUUAUUACCACAUUUGAGAGAUCAGUGUGAAGGACAAUCCUGCCACCAGAUAGAGAGUAACACAGGAGAGAAUCUAAUAGCUCUCUCCUAUCCUUUUCUCUUAGACUGUGCUAAAAUGAUUACACUUCCUUAUCUGCAAACUAACAAUAGCUCUGCAGCAGCAUAGGAAAGUUAAACAAGCCUUGAGUCAAGGGGAUGUAGAGAUUACCCCUAGGCACUGAAUAAAGCUCUAGACCACAUAUUCUUCUGGGGAAAAAAUCAACCUGCAAAAGGAACAAGUUUUGAGGUGUUACUCACUUAAAACUCUAGUCCUGUGGCUCAUCAUGUUCCACCUUCAAAUAUCUCCCCCAGGUGCUGUCCACGGGCUAGCAAAAUCACAGACAUGAAGUUUUUUGCCUUUAGAUCAGAAUGUAUCCCCUGUCAAUAGCAGAUAAUGCUCUAGCAGUGGAUUUCAUCAGUGCAAUAACAAAAAUAGGAAAGAAAUCCUGACAUUGAGCCAGCCAUCAAUAGGCAGGCACAGCAUGGUGAUUGAACUAACCUGCCCCCAGGAAUUGUCCUGCUAUGGAGAGGUUUCCUGCACAUGGCAGGGCAGGGAAGAAGUAAGCUGGGAAAUUCCUGCUCUUUUAUUUAUGUUCAGAAUCAGGUAGUUUGCAGCCAAAUGCUAAAUUCUUUCAAAGCAUUCUUAAAGGAAAGACAGAAAUGUAGCUUGAAGCAUGUUGUUUCCUUGCUAGAACUGCAUUAACUCUGAAUAAUUCCAUUGCACUGCACCCUGCUAAGCAGAAUAGAACCUCUCUACUUAGAGAGCUUUUGUGCUGCUAGUUACUGAAGUCACAGACAAUAUAUUUUGCAUUGUACUUUUAUGAUUCUCCUCCCAUGCUACAUCAACUUACUUAAAAUACUACAGACUUCUGAAGAGGAGUUAGUUCCAAGAUGUACUUUUUAAAUGUUCUUAGCUUUCCUCUCUGUAAAGCGUGUGGUGUGCUCUUCCACACCCACCCUUUGGCCUUGAGAAGCCAGUCCCUCAACAAACCAUGCCACGCUCUGUUUGUUUUAGUAAUUCUUACCCAAGGUCUUUAUCUUUGAAUCCUGUUCGUGCAGCUUUGGACAAGAUUCAGUGCUUGGAGGGCAGGGUGAGCGAGGUGGGAAAGAUUUUUUAGUGCCUUUAGUAUUUAAUAUGUUAUCUCGCCUGUGACUAUUAAGUAGAUGAUUUACAAGCUUGUUGACACUGAGAUGGUGUGAGUUUCUGCCCCUUACAGUAGAUGCAAACACUACUUGAAAGAGCAGCUAUAGGAGGGGGUAAGGGCUACAGAGAAGUACAGUUUCCAGCCUGUGCACAAAGCACCCAGGAAGUCUUUGGAGAAAACACUGUAGUAGGUAGCCUACUGCAAGCCCUUCACCUGCUCCUGGCUGGUCUGUUCACAACAGCAGCACACUAAAAUCACAUCCAUCUUCUCUUGCAGCUGCAAAUUCACAGCUUACAGUGCUACUCCACACAGCAAAUUUAUUAAUUAGAAUUGUGUGUCAGUCCCUGACCAGGACACACUUUCUGAGGCCAGGCUGUUGCAGCCUGAGCAGCAUGAGCUGCUGCUGUGGGAGCUUAGCAGCACAGUGCAGGAAUGCUUGGAAUGUUUCAGUCAGCAGGUACUUCAGAGAUCCUUUUCUAGGAAAUGCCUGCACUUCUCAUAGAAGUAGUCUCCCAGCCCACUGCCCCUCUGAGACAGUAACAGUGGGCUCCCUCUUCUCCCCUCCAAGCAUCACACAAAUCAAAAUGUUCUCUCCAGCUCCAGCGUUAACCCCAGUUCCCCUUUGUGAGGCAAAAUCAUCAUUAGAAAUGAAAAUUACACAAAUCAGCAACAUACUGGUGUCUUUCCAAACAUGCUGUGGGUCUGGAUACAACCUUGGAAGGCAGGCUGCUUUUAGAGAGUGAUCCCCUCCAUAGCUGUGGGGCCAAAUGCUUGCAAUCAAUUCAACAGCUUCCAACAGCUAGAAAAACAAGUUGCUCAUUUGCCUGUUUCAAGCAAGAAAUGCUAUCAUAGUUUUAAAGACCAGCUCUGCUUUUGUAAUAAUCUUUCCUAUGCUGUCUCCAUCUUCCCCCUACCUAUCCAACACUGAAACACCUUGCAGACACUAUGAGUUAAAUUUUCUGACAAGCACUUCUCUGAUUUUCCAUCUUUUAAACUUCCCACCUCUGCAAACUAGUGCUUGGUAAAAGACCUUUGUCCCUACCACACUGAUCACUAGCCCAGCAUAUCAAGGACUUGCUCUCCAGUGUCUAGGGCUGUUGUGGGAAAGGAGAUACAGUAUGGAGACCUCUUUAAUACAUCCUAAAACCACUUCCUGAACUAUCCUAACUGUGAAAUACCUCUGUACACUGGAUUAAUUAUUAUAAUUUCUGAAUAGAUAAAAUGACUGUCAAGAAACAUCUUUUGCUCAUUUAUAAUUGGUUAAGAAACUUCACUUCUAGAAGGGAAGGAUGUAAAUCACUGUAUCUGGCACUCAAAUUGACAGGAAGGGUAGAGGUGUCAAAUUGAGGGGAAAUGAAAGCAGGGAUAAUUACCAACUUAGCAGUGCAAACCUCUGGAAAAACACCAGUCAAUAACAUCUCCUUUCUUGUCUCUGGGUUCACUUGUAUUACUUGAAACAUGCCAUCAACCAAAUCAAACACUUGAGGCUCUAUACCACCAUCUGCCCCAUUCAUGGGAUUUGUGUUAGGAACACACGACCAGGGACAAUUGAACCAGCUAUUCCAAAAUACCUUUUAGUUACCCCAUGCAAAUAGAGGUAUCCUAAGUAAGAUGUAGGUACAUAUCUUUUACACAGGUAGGAUGUGCAGAGUUUUCUGAAAGAAUAAUUAAAGCAAAUUUCAGUAUUUCAUACCCAGUUGCAGGCACAGUUGACUUGCUGAAUAUAAAAUAUUAAUUUAACAUAUAAAUAUGAGAGGAAGGAAGAAAUCAAUUCACUUAACUCUAAUUUUCUCUAUGCUAGUAAUCUACUAAAAUCCAGUAAUCUUGGUGUUCAAAGGAGAGAUUCCUCCAAUGUUCAACCCAUUUGUUGUCACUGUUGCCCUAUAGCACUGGCAGAGGGGAGCUCAAUCCUUCCCAGGCAUGUAGGGCAUUUGGAAAGGCUUGUUGGAUAGGAUGCCUCCAUUUCAGUAUCAUGAAACCACUCCUGAAACAAGCUGCUGCUGCCUGGGGCUCAGCAGGAAAGGGGCUCUGCCAAAGCCAUUGGAUUUGGGAUCCUCCAGUGUGGCAGUUAGAGACAGACAGAGCUGCAGUGCUGAGCCAAGGAGCCUGGAUAGCAAAGCUGCAGCCCCAGCACUGCUGAGAGGUGGGGUGGCACUCCCGGCUGGAACAUCCAGGACUGUAGUGUGCCAGGCAAGCUGCCUUUGGGCAGGUUUCCCAAAUGCUGUACCCAGAGACAGAAUGUACAGAGCAUGCCCUGCACAGAGAACGCCACUGUUGUGCUGCAGCUACUCCUCUGGGACCCAAUGUCACACACAGAUCCUGAGCAAAGGGAGAAAUCCAUCUGCAAAGGACACAUCUAGAGAAGCUCUGAACUGCAACAGGAUGGGCAGUGCCCAGUCAGGUACUUCUUGUUUGUUUUGUACUCCUGUAGGCAAGAGAAUCCAUCCUCAGCUUUUCCCUGAAGCAAAGCUAAGUAAUGGGGCCCUGCCUAGAUUGCUAAAGGGAAAGUAGGGCCCAUCCUCCAUGCAUACUGGAAUGAACUUGAGGGAAAAUGUUAGAAAUAGCCACCUGAGCUCUUGCAUACCACUUCUAGGGCCCAAGAGAGAGCUACGUCAGCAAAAUUAGGGCAGCUUCAAAGGUUUUAUUAACUCAACAGUGUACUGACAUCCACACUACAAGCUUUGGUGAACCCGCCAAGUGUGUGGUGGAGUUGGUAGAACAGAUUUCACUUGGUCUCUCAGUGGGUCUGCCACUGACUAGAACUUCAAAAAAGAUGAAAAAUGUUACCUGCUCAGACUAGUUUGUAUGGAUGGUGCCACAGAUGUUAGAGAAGGAGUAAAUUUGACAUGUCUUAACUUGUACAGAGAGAGGGAUUUUCUUUAAAUCAUUAUCGGUCUACCAGUCAUAAAAUCUCAGAUUUCUGUUUGUGCAUGACACUUCUUAAAACAGAGGCAUUAUACUGUAUGUAUAGUUAAAAUCCAGACUCUGGGGAACUGCAAAAUUUACCAUUUCUUCGUCUUCUGAAGAAAUGGCUUCUAGGAAAAAACCCAACUCUGGAGAGAGGGCAAAUUUUUCACAGAAUUGUGAGAGGAAACACAAAAAUCCCUUACUCUUGUAUUUCUGCUUUCUACCACAUGGUGUGAUUGCUUAUGUCUUUCACUGCAUGAGAAAAUGGUUUCACAGUUGCCUGGAAAUCUCAGUGCAAGGUCCCUCCGCCUUAGCAGAGUUGAGUCUCGUUAAUCUUUCCAAGGUCUCCCCUGUCCACUGUCUGUUUCCCUUCCUUCUCCUGGGCCAUCGCUGUCUGUUAUUCUCUCCUGCCAAGGUCAUCUUACCUCUGUGCUUGUUCCAUUCGCUCUACCUCCUCCCCACUUCUCGUGUUACCAUCUUUCAUGCAAAUGCCACUCACCUUCUCUGUUAUCUCUUGCUAACUCAUUCAGUCUUUAUCCCUUUCCAGAGCAGCUGAAAGGCAGGAAAUUAGUAGAAAUAGAAGAAACAACAGCUUUCAAACAUGGCUACAGGACCAAUGUUUCUGCUGUCCCUCAUAAGUGAAAGUCUUUGCAAAGAAACUUUGCCUUUCUGCUGUGGGUGAAGACAUUGUGUUCUCACACAGCAUCUCAGUUUGCAACAAAAAGAUUUGUACAUGCUGACAGUAAGAGCAGAGGAGAGAGAGAGCAGGAAGGGCUGGGAGGCUGUGUUCAGUUUGAACUGCAACAAAUAGUACUUCCAACUGGGAAUAAGGACAGUCCAUGGUGUCAGCUGCUCUAUUUCUGAUUCACAGCUCAGGAGGCCUCUAUUUUCCACAGUCUCAUGUUGAGCAGGUAGCGUAACAUGUGCACUUCUGCAAAUGCCAAAGCAGACAAGUGAUGCUCACUCACUGGCAGUGGUCUAGCUAUUGAUAUUCCGAAAUUAGGGAUUCUGCUCCAUCCCUGCAUGCUGAGUGCAGCAGCUUAAAGCACUGUCCCCACCCUUGCUGCAUAGUUUGCUCUCAGUGCAUGAGUGACAUAGGGUGUCCGCUCAGUGCCCCAGCAGCAGGACAAUAGCACAGGAUUUACAGAGCCUGAGGGAAUGAUUUGCUGGAGCAUACAGUGUUGGCCUGGUGCCACUACCAUGGAGGUCAGGGUCGAAUCAACCCUGCUUGUGAAGCAGCUGAUACUAUUGAAAAAUGCCACCCUUGGGCUCUGUGAACUUGGGCUGCUUUCUGUACAGAAUUUUUCUGCUUUCACAGUAGAAUUGAAAACAUCUUUCAUCUGCAGCACUGUGGACAUGAUGGGCAGUAGAGAAGAUCUCUCUAAACCAAUGUCCUUUUCUUCCUUCUUCUCAAUAGCACUUGGGAAUCUGCCCUUUAACCAGACUCCUACACAAACUGACAAAAUCACAAUCCUUUAAUCAGGAACUUCUUUCCUACAUAGAUUUGUAUGCAAGUAAAAGUGAGAGAGCCUGGCAGUUGUCAGAACCCAUCUAAGGCCACAUCCAAAAUUCAGUUGAACUUAGCUUCUUGCAAGAACCUAUCCUGUUUGGUAGUUUUCAUCCCUGUUUAAAUAAAUUCCCAGACUCAAGCAAAAAGGGACCCACUAUGCAUGACUGUCACAGUUUAAGCAUCACUGUUGUGCUUUUAAAUACAGACAUAUCCAGGCACUGCAAUGCCAGCAAGUAGAAGGAACAUCUGAAAAUAACUUUAAAUCUUAAGACACACAAUUGAAGUAAUGAAGCAUGGAAGCAAAGAGUUAAAAAGACACUAAAAUGAAGCCUAAAGAGACUGGCCAACAUCAACAGACAAAAUCUGCUGCAUACCCAGCCUUAACAGAAAGCAGGAAUUCUUUGCCUAGAGAUCUCUUCUGAACAAAAUAUUACAAGACAGAUUAUAAACUGUUUUAAGAGUCUUAUCCCUUGGGUGUUAUCAGCCAACAGGUCUAUAUGCUGAGAUGGCAAAAUGAAGUAAUACACGCUGUUAUCUCAGAGCACAUUAUAAGGCUGAGGUGGAGAUGGUAUUUAUAUUGAGGUUCAUGUCAUGCUUUUUUCAAUAAAAAUGUAAUUCUGUGGCCCUAUAGUAAUUCUUCAGCUGUGGAGGUCCAGAGUCUAAGGUCAGGCCUUCAUAAAUGGGAAUUUACUCAUGCUCAGCUGACUGAUGUUGCCCUUUGAAUGGACACAUCAAUGAUAUGAGUUAAACUGCCUCACCCACUUCCACUUACCUCUUUCCUUUUUUAUUCCAUUUUGUCAAUACAACCUGGAAGCAGCGAUGAUAACUCAGACCUGCAAGAGUGAACUUUGGCUGCUGUGUGAAAUGUUUACCCUGAUCACUGUGUAGUGUCACCCUCCAGGCUGCGAAAUCAACAUGAACUACAUGAUCUAAUAGUUCAGAUAACACUCAACAACACAGACAGAGCAAACUAUCAUGCUCCAACUAGUGCCUCAUGAACUGCAACACUGCUCAGGUGUAAUAUACUCCUCCACCCAAAGAAAGAACACACACAUCUGAAAUCCCACUGUGCCCAUGUACAGAAAUGGGGACAUAAGCAUGGCCUAUAUACUGUUAAAUGGGAGUAGAGGGGGCUGCUCACAACACAAGCUUUUUGCAGGUGCUUCAGCACGGCUGCUUGUACUAACUUAAAAGAGGCUAUACUCAAGAGUUUACCCUGUUUCAGGCUAUGGCUCUAGAACAGUAGUCUCCUAGGAGUGCUGUUGCACUCAUACCUUGCACUGUCCUCAAUCUGUCCUUCAGAAUUCUGCUCGAUGCACCCUGGAAAAUUUCCCAGUGGUUCAGCUGACAGUAGCAUUAAAAAUCACAGCAUGUGUCUGUAGUCUUCUUUGUAUCAGACAUUCAGAUAGCAUGCUGCAGAGAUGCAAUUGUUGCAGCUAUGUGCUCUUAAAAGACUGCAUGUGUCCCAGGGAAUGUCUUUACCAGAGAUGACCAUCUCUAAGCAGGCAGCUGCAGGUCUCAUCCAGUGAAAACAGUUUAUUUCCCUAAAAGCUUUAUAACUUCAAGUCUUUGCUGCAAAUCCCCUACUCAAGUUUUGCCCUUAAUUUGAGGGUCAUCAAUACACAAAACCUCUUCGAUCUUUCUAGUGGCACACCAAAAUAAAGAUUAAUACUAUUAUUCAUGCGGGUCACUGCUAUGACAACCUCCCUGGCACACCAGUUUCCCAGGAAUGCUGUUGAACAGAUACCUUGUGCUGUCCUCCUCAUCUUGUCCUUGAGAAUUCCACCCAUUAUUCGUUGGAAAUUUUCCCAGAGUAGUUCAGCUUACAGCAGUGCUAAGAAUCACAGCACACGUCAGUAGAUGGUUUUAUAUCAGGUGCACUGGGAUACAAUGCAGCAGAGGUUUGAGUAACAAAAAGUUAGCUCUGUUACAUCCCCCCCUCCCCCUUGGUUAUUUAAAAAAGAAAGAAGGAAAGGAAGGAAUAAAUAGUGAAGUAAGUCAACAAGAAACCACAAUCCAUUCCUUAAGUGGUAACCAGGCUACUGUGCUUUGGAACUUUUCCUGACACAACAAAAGACACCAUGAAGACAGGAACUUUGGCAGCAGUGGUUUUGAACUCCACAACCCCCAACUUUCGUCUGUUUUUCUAUGCAUAUGUUACUGGAAAUAUAAUCAUCUGCUAGGGAAGCGGUCAACCCUCCAGACGGAUACCUAACCAGCAGCAAGCCUCUGGAAGUAACCAUAGUAGAAUAAAAAGGAGAUUUUCAGCAAAGCAGCCCUGAGUUCCUGAAUUAACCAAUGUCCUCCUUUGCCUGACCACGGUCACCAUAGUGACCAGAGGAGCUGCCGCCGAGCCACUGCGCUGUGGCUUGGGACGGAGGCAAGUGGGACGCCGUGCUGGGAAUCAAGUGACUUUGACUCAGGGCCCGGUUAUGCAGAUAUAGGCUGUGGGACCAGGCAUUGGGAGCAGCCUUGGGAGUACUGUGAUGGGAAAGGGGGCUUACAGAGCAAAGAGGUGCAAUUCCUGCCCUGAAUGCCAGCCGUGAAGGGCCAGCCCUGCCGGAGCGGUUGCAAGGUUACCAGAGGAGUCAGAAGGUGAAAUAAAAAGAGUUGAUAAUGAGGAGCAUGAGGAAAGAAGACAUUGACGGCAAUGCAGCAAACACGGUUAAACUGGAGCUGGAAUAAGCAGAUUCAUUCCCCUCGACAUCAUUUGUGUGGACUGCUCCCUCUCCUGGGGAAAACCUGAC